GAUGAACGCUAGCGGCAGGCCUAACACAUGCAAGUCGAGGGGUAACAGGGAGUGCUUGCACUCUGCUGACGACCGGCGCACGGGUGCGUAACGCGUAUGCAACCUACCUUCUACAGGGGGAUAGCCCAGAGAAAUUUGGAAUAAUACCCCAUACGAUCUUUACUUGGCAUCGAGUAAAGAAGAAAACUUCGGUGGUAGAAGAUGGGCAUGCGUCCUAUUAGUUAGUUGGUGAGGUAACGGCUCACCAAGACUUCGAUAGGUAGGGGCCCUGAGAGGGGGAUCCCCCACACUGGUACUGAGACACGGACCAGACUCCUACGGGAGGCAGCAGUGAGGAAUAUUGGACAAUGGGGGCAACCCUGAUCCAGCCAUGCCGCGUGCAGGAAGACUGCCCUAUGGGUUGUAAACUGCUUUUAUACAGGAAGAAACUGUGCUACGUGUAGCGCACUGACGGUACUGUAAGAAUAAGGAUCGGCUAACUCCGUGCCAGCAGCCGCGGUAAUACGGAGGAUCCAAGCGUUAUCCGGAAUCAUUGGGUUUAAAGGGUCCGUAGGUGGUCUAUUAAGUCAGAGGUGAAAGCCUAUCGCUCAACGAUAGAACUGCCUUUGAUACUGAUGGACUUGAGUUAUUGUGAAGUAGUUAGAAUAUGUAGUGUAGCGGUGAAAUGCAUAGAUAUUACAUAGAAUACCGAUUGCGAAGGCAGAUUACUAACAAUAUACUGACACUGAGGGACGAAAGCGUGGGUAGCGAACAGGAUUAGAUACCCUGGUAGUCCACGCCGUAAACGAUGGUCACUAGCUGUUUGACUAACAUUGGUUAGUUAAGUGGCUAAGCGAAAGUGAUAAGUGACCCACCUGGGGAGUACGCUCGCAAGAGUG
rnacentral:rRNA from 1 species